GAAUUCGCCCUUAGAGUUUGAUCCUGGCUCAGGACGAACGCUGGCGGCGUGCCUAACCCAUGCAAGUCGAACGAGCAGAGAUCUUCGGAUCGAAGCGAGUGGCGGACGGGUGAGUAACGCGUGAACAACCAACCCUGCACAGGGGGACAACAGCUGGAAACGGCUGCUAAUACCGCAUAAGACCACAAUGUCGCAUGACGAAGGGGUCAAAGGAGAAAUCCGGUGCAGGACGGGUUCGCGUCCCAUUAGCCAGUUGGCGGUGUAACGGACCACCAAAGCAACGAUGGGUAGCCGAGCUGAGAGGCUGAACGGCCACACUGGGACUGAGAUACGGCCCAAACUCCUACGGGAGGCAGCAGUGGGGGAUAUUGCACAAUGGGGGAAACCCUGAUGCAGCGACGCCGCGUGAGUGAUGAAGUAUUUCGGUAUGUAAAGCUCUAUCAGCAGGGAAGAAAAUGACGGUACCUGACUAAGAAGCCCCGGCUAACUACGUGCCAGCAGCCGCGGUAAUACGUAGGGGGCAAGCGUUAUCCGGAUUUACUGGGUGUAAAGGGAGCGUAGACGGCAAGGUAAGUCUGAUGUGAAAGCUCGGGGCUCAACCCCGGAACUGCAUUGGAAACUAUUUUGCUAGAGUGUCGGAGAGGUAAGUGGAAUUCCUAGUGUAGCGGUGAAAUGCGUAGAUAUUAGGAGGAACACCAGUGGCGAAGGCGGCUUUCUGGACAGUAACUGACGCUGAGGCGCGAAAGCGUGGGGAGCAAACAGGAUUAGAUACCCUGGUAGUCCACGCUGUAAACGAUGAAUACUAGGUGUAGGGGUUUUUAUAACUUCUGUGCCGCAGCAAACGCAAUAAGUAUUCCACCUGGGGAGUACGACCGCAAGGUUGAAACUCAAAGGAAUUGACGGGGACCCGCACAAGCAGUGGAGUAUGUGGUUUAAUUUGAAGCAACGCGAAAAACCUUACCAAGGCUUGACAUAGCAGUGAAUAAUGUGGAAACACAUUAGCUCUUCGGAGCACUGUUACAGGUGGUGCAUGGUUGUUGUCAGCUCGUGUCGUGAGAUGUUGGGUUAAGUCCCGCAACGAGCGCAACCCUUGCCAUUAGUUGCCAGCAUUCAGUUGGGCACUCUAGUGGGACUGCCGGUGAGAAAUCGGAGGAAGGUGGGGAGGACGUCAAAUCAUCAUGCCCCUUAUGUCUUGGGCUACACACGUACUACAAUGGCUAUUACAACAGGCAGCUAAGGCGCAAGCCGGAGCAAAUCCCCAAAGAUAGUCCCAGUUCGGAUUGUGGGCUGCAACCCGCCCACAUGAAGUCGGAAUUGCUAGUAAUUGCAGGUCAGCAUACUGCAGUGAAUACGUUCCCGGGUCUUGUACACACCGCCCGUCA
rnacentral:rRNA from 1 species